rnacentral:rRNA from 1 species
GAUGAACGCUAGCGGCAGGCUUAACACAUGCAAGUCGAGGGGUAUAGUUCUUCGGAGCUAGAGACCGGCGCACGGGUGCGUAACGCGUAUGCAAUCUACCUUUUGCAGAGGGAUAGCCCAGAGAAAUUUGGAUUAAUACCUCAUGGUAUGUGAGAAUGGCAUCAUUUUCACAUUAAAGUCACAACGGCAAAAGAUGAGCAGGCGUCCCAUUAGCUAGUUGGUAAGGUAACGGCUUACCAAGGCAACGAUGGGUAGGGGUCCUGAGAGGGAGAUCCCCACACUGGUACUGAGACACGGACCAGACUCCUACGGGAGGCAGCAGUGAGGAAUAUUGGACAAUGGGCGCAAGCCUGAUCCAGCCAUGCCGCGUGCAGGAUGACGGUCCUAUGGAUUGUAAACUGCUUUUGUACAGGAAGAAACACUGGUUCGUGAACCAGCUUGACGGUACUGUAAGAAUAAGGAUCGGCUAACUCCGUGCCAGCCGCCGCCGUAAUAC